UGGGGAAUAUUGGACAAUGGGCGAAAGCCUGAUCCAGCCAUGCCGCGUGUGUGAAGAAGGUCUUCGGAUUGUAAAGCACUUUAAGUUGGGAGGAAGGGCAGUAAGCGAAUACCUUGCUGUUUUGACGUUACCGACAGAAUAAGCACCGGCUAACUCUGUGCCAGCAGCCGCGGUAAUACAGAGGGUGCAAGCGUUAAUCGGAAUUACUGGGCGUAAAGCGCGCGUAGGUGGUUCGUUAAGUUGAAUGUGAAAGCCCCGGGCUCAACCUAAGAACUGCAUCCAAAACUGGCGGGCUAGAGUAGGGGAGAGGGUGGUGGAAUUACCUGUGUAGCGGUGAAAUGCGUAGAUAUAGGAAGGGAAACCAGUGGCGAAGGCGACCAGCUGGGCUGAUACUGACACUGAGGUGCGGAAGCGUGGGGAGCAAACAAG
rnacentral:rRNA from 1 species